UACGUAGGGUGCGAGCGUUAAUCGGAAUUACUGGGCGUAAAGCGUGCGCAGGCGGUUCGUUGUGUCCGUCGUGAAAGCCCCGGGCUUAACCUGGGAACUGCGAUGGAAACUAGCGGGCUGGAGUGUGGCAGAGGGGGGUGGAAUUCCGCGUGUAGCAGUGAAAUGCGUAGAGAUGCGGAGGAACACCGAUGGCGAAGGCGGCUCGCUGGGCCGGUACUGACGCUGAUGUGCGAAAGCGUGGGGAGCGAACGGG
rnacentral:rRNA from 1 species